rnacentral:misc_RNA from 1 species
AACGCACAUUGCGGCCAUAGGUAUUCCUUUGGCCAUGCCUGUUCGAGCGUCAUUUACACCCUCAAGCCUAGCUUGGUGUUGGGCGUCUGUCCCGCCGUUUUCGCGCGCGGACUCGCCUCAAAGUCAUCGGCGGCGGUCGUGCCGGCCCCUCGCGCAGCACAUUUGCGCUUCUCGGAGGCCCGGCGGACCCGCGCUCCAGCAAGACCUUUCACGACUUGACCUCGGAUCAGGUAGGGAUACCCGCUGAACUUAA